GGCUCCGUGGCUCAGUGGUAGAGCGUCUGUCUAGUAAACAGAAGGUCUUGGGUUCGAUCCCACGGAGCCU
rnacentral:tRNA from 1 species